rnacentral:lncRNA from 1 species
GUUCAGGUAUUUCACAUCCAAUUUUUUAUGGUAAUAUUCUUUAUAAAGCACAAAGGUGUCAGUAUUCACCUCAGAAACUUACAAAACCUUUGAAUAGACUUAUUAAGAAGGGAUAUAAUUACGAUACUGUUGUCAAGUCAUUAAAGAUUGCAUAUUUUGGCGUUAAUAUUGAAUCACUGAUAAGGUAUUUGCAUCGGAACUAAACACAUUAUCUUUUUUAAAAACAGUUGUUGGCAUGACACGGGUUAUGUUCUUUUCAUAUAUGUUAUGAUGGUAUGAUACUAAACCCCUAACGGGAAGGAUUGUGCCUGAUGUUCAUAUGAUGAAAUCAUAAUCUUUCAGUCAGUUUAAUUGAAGUCUGGAGCUUGCAUGUCAGUUAACUGCUAGUAGUCUGUUGUUAUUUAUGUAUUAUUGUCAUUUUGUUUAUUUUCUUUGGUUACAUCUUCUGACAUCAGACUCGGAUUUCUCUUGAACUGAAUUUUAAUGUGCGUAUUGUUAUGCGUUUACUUUACUACAUUGGUUAGAGGUAUAGGGGGAGGGUUGAGAUCUCACAAACAUGUUUAACCCCGCCGCAUUUUUGCGCCUGUCCCAAGUCAGGAGCCUCUGGCCUUCGUUAGUCUUGUAUUAUUUUAAUUUUAGUUUCUUGUGUACAAUUUGGAAAUUAGUAUGGCGUUCAUUAUCACUGGACUAGUAUAUAUUUGUUCAGGGGCCAGCUGAAGGACGCCUCCGGGUGCGGGAAUGUCUCGCUACAUUGAAGACCUGUUGGUGACCCUCUGCUGUUGUUUUUUAUUUGGUCGGGUUGUUGUCUCUUUGACACAUUCCCCAUUUCCAUUCUCAAUUUUAUCCUUGUAUCAAAGUACGUCGGGCCUUUUAUAGCUGACGAUACGGUAUCGGUUUUGUCAUUAUUGAAGGUUAUAUGGUUGUGGAAUAAUGGUAUCACCCCACUUAUUUUAUAGUUAGCCAUGUCUGGGAAUUUGAAAUAAUGUUGUAUAUCCUCUUUCAGUACAUGAAGCAAUGUAAACUAAUGUCAGACGGGGAUGAACCUUAUACUUCUAUUAUAUUUUUCUUUUUUGCCGUACAUUUGACAAAGUAAUCUGCUAGAAUCCUUUUUAUAUUUUUUUUUUGGUUAUGAAAAGGUUACUGUCCAAAUUUCGUUUCGUAAAUGUUUAGCACAACUGUUUUGUCAUUUUACGAGUAACCAUUUUAUGAAUUUUUAUGAUAAUUAUCAACGCUAAAGAUACAAAUAUUUAGUUGACUUGUUAAGGAAUAUUUUAGAAUACCGUUAAAUUUUACACUUCAGAUUUUUUUUUUGUGAAAAAGGCUGCUGCAUAUACUUGUAAGGGUAGUCGUGUACGGCGGGAAUGAUUACACGACGUUGUUGCAAUUAAAACUCAAUACAACGUAAUUUAGCGGCGUAUUGCCAGGCGUCGUAAAAAAUCAAGGUAUAUGUCUUUUAUUGAAAAAAACAAGCACCUGGACCCCUUUUUUUAUUUCCUUUGCAAUCAAUCAAGUAGUGUUUCAAGAACACUCCACCAAAAUUUCAAGAAAAAAAUCAACAAUUGAAUUUGUUUAUACAUAUAUGUAUAUAGCAAUCUUAUCCUGAAAAUAAUAACUUGGUUUAACCUUAAACUUUUUUCAGCAUGUUGAUGCCAUAGAUCAAAGGAACAUUAUACAAUAAAAAACGGUUAAGUUUUGGGUUUUCGUUCAAACGUAUUGUUACUUUCUUUAAAAGUCCUUUUCUAAGAAAUUUCAGAGAUUUUCAUCCAAAAAGACAAAUU